UGCAUCACAGGAAAGCCAUGAAACAGGGCUUGAAACGGUCAUCUCAAAGGUUGCCAUUUUCAAGAAACCAGGCGUGUCAGGCCAUGGCUUGUAUGAACUGAAGAAGGAAUGUCUGAAAGAGUUUAACCCCUUCUUCUAUCAUUAUUCCAGACCACAGCAUAGUAAGGCAGAAGAGGCUCAGAAGAAGAGGAGAACCCAAGAGAGCAGUGAUAAAGCCCUCCGUCCCCCAGUGCCUCCUCCCUUCUGUCCGGCAUUCUCAAACAUAGUGUAUCUGCUCUGCUGUGACAUCUUCAUCCAUAUUCUGAAGAGAAUCUUCCAGAAAGCAGCGGAGGACCGUUCCAACCGAUGGACUGAACCCAUGAUCC